rnacentral:rRNA from 1 species
AGGACGAACGCUGGCGGCGUGCUUAACACAUGCAAGUCGAGCGGAAAGGCCCUUCGGGGUACUCGAGCGGCGAACGGGUGAGUAACACGUGAGCAACCUGCCCUCAGCUCUGGGAUAGCUCCGGGAAACCGGAAUUAAUACCGGAUAUGACCCUGACUGACAUCGGUCAGGGUGGAAAGGAUUCCGGCUGAGGAUGGACUCGCGGCCUAUCAGCUAGUUGGUGGAGUAACGGCCCACCAAGGCGACGACGGGUAGCCGGCCUGAGAGGGCGACCGGCCACACUGGGACUGAGACACGGCCCAGACUCCUGCGGGAGGCAGCAGUGGGGAAUAUUGCGCAAUGGGCGAAAGCCUGACGCAGCGACGCCGCGUGGGGAUGAAUGCCUUCGGGUUGUAACCCUUCAGCAGGGACGAAGCGAGAGUGACGGUACCUGCAGAAGAAGCGCCGGCUAACUACGUGCCAGCAGCCGCGGUAA